UACGGAGGGUGCGAGCGUUGUCCGGAAUCACUGGGCGUAAAGGGCGCGUAGGCGGCGCAGGAAGUCAACGGUGAAAGUUCGGGGCUCAACCCUGAAUCGGCCGUCGAUACUCCUGGGCUCGAGCACUGUAGAGGCAGAUGGAAUUCCGGGUGUAGCGGUGGAAUGCGUAGAGAUCCGGAAGAACACCGGUGGCGAAGGCGGUCUGCUGGGCAGUUGCUGACGCUGAGGCGCGACAGCGUGGGGAGCAAACAGG
rnacentral:rRNA from 1 species